rnacentral:tRNA from 1 species
GCGAGAAUGGCUCAAUGGUAGAGCAUAAGUCUGAUAAACUUACGGUUAUUGGUUCGAAUCCAAUUUUUUGCACAA